ACAAACAACAUUUAUAACUAUACAUAUAAUUCUCACUUAUAUCUACCAAUAUAUAUAUACACGCAUGUUGUAAAGUAGGCGAUAUUUAUAACACUCACUUCCAUUGAUAAUGCAAGUGACUCAUAAAAAUAAGCCGUCAUAUUUACCAUUACACGCACAUAUAUAUAUAUUCAAAGACAAGCUAUAUUUGUAAUAUCUAUUCCUAUUGAUAAUAUAUACUUAUAUAUUCAUAACAAUAAAACAAAUCUCAUCUAUACUACUUACCAAUACGUAUGCAUAUAUGUAUAUAAUUAUAACCCAAGUAGCAUUCAUAAUAUUUAUUUUCACUGAUAACAUGUACGUAAAACCUAAAAUAAAACAAAGACACCACCAGUCAAAUUUCCUUUGGAAAUUUGAACUCCAAGGGCGGGGGUGUCACGUCCCGCGCUCCGCACGCGCCGUAACAAGAACAAGAAAACCAUUCUAUACAAAACGCGCGAAUAAGGAUUUGAAUGCACAAACGAACACACGGCGCUACGAAACUAAAGGAAGGAUUAACAAAACGAGGGCGACUAAUAGAUCCAACCAAUAAACAAAACACAUAUACACACAACUCUAAAUAAACCUACCAAUAACCGACUUGCAAUUUGAAAACUUGUGGUUCAAUAUAAUAUAAAUCCAACCAGUAUAAAAUAAAAUAAAUAGAACCAGCUAAUGGAUUGAACGAGUUAUGAACCAAGCAAAUAAACCAGGAAAUAAGAAUAACUACAAAAGGGGAAAUAAUUGAAACGCCAGGAAUACAUGUAUAUAUAAAUAUAUUUUAAUCAAUCAACUUGGAGAGUUACAUAUAAGUAUAAACAUAUAUGCCAGACAUGUAAUAAACUAGUAAAUAUUAGAGACAGUACUUCCAAUACUAUGCAACAAAUACAAUAUUAUCAAUUUAUGAAAUAUAAGUAUAUAUGAAGUCAAAAACUAAUAGUCUAACGAAUACAUAAAACAUACAAUAUUGUAUUAUUAAAGAAAUAAAAGUUACAUUGUCAGAAACAUAUAUAUAUGUGUGCGCAUUCUAUCAAACAGUAAUCUAAGAUACAUACUUAACUAGCCUACAUUCCGGUAAAGAGUUAUAAAAUAAGAACUACAUUACGAAACAUCCAUGUCUAUAUAUAAAUAUAUAUAAUCUAUAUUCUAAACUAAAUUACUACUAAUGUGUGCGCAUUCUACAUUAUUAAAUCAAAUUAGUAAUCUAAGAUACAUACUUAAAACUAGCCUACAUUCCGGUAAAGAGUUAUAAAAUAAGAACUACAUUACGAAACAUGCAUGUCUCUACAUAAAUAUAUAAAUAAUCUAUAUUCUAAACUAAACCACUACUAAUAAUCUACAAAAGAAAUAGAACACACAACGCAACACUUGGGACUAAGCGACAACCUAUCGAUAGGCCAAACGCUCAAAAUAAUUAACACCGCAACGACUUGAGGAAUUCUAUCAUCAAACACAAGUAUGUAAACACACAUUAAACACACAAUAAUCUAGAAACAAAACCUUCAAUACUAUGUUGCCACAAUACAAGAUAUAUAUGUAUAUAUGAAAUCAAAUGAUUGACACAUAACCUCAAAUACACAUUAUAUCGCUAAGGAAUCUAAAUGAAAAUCACAUUGCCAGAAAUAUAUACAUAUAUACGUGUGCGUAUGCGUGUUCUAUCUUGUUAAAUGAAGUUAAUAUAAAAUAAAUAAUUGACAUUUCAUUUCGUAUGAAUACUACACUGCCAGAAGAAAUAUGCAUAUGAAUACGUAUAUAUAUGUGUGUGUGUGUGUGUGUGUGUGUGUGUGCGUAUGUUUUAUAUUAUCGAACACUCUAUAAAAUAAACUACUCAAAACAAUAAAUAACGCUAUCGAAGAAUUACAAAACAUUAGUCAUAUUAAAAUGACACACAACAUAAAUAUAUAUAUAUAUAUAUAUAUAUAUAUUCACACGAACAAUACUAUUGUCACUUUAAACAAUAUUAAUAAAUAAAUGUUCUAAUUGCGGUAGAAUAAGGAAAAACGAGCGACAGACGGAAAAUUACUUCGAUAACAAAACUAAAGACCCGCCACUAUAACUUUACUAAUGACAUUUAUGAGCAGCCAUGUUAGAUUUACACGUGCGCAUCGGAACAACUAACGCGCGUCAUGGCGACAGGAAUAUUAGGGAUUAAUGGAAAUCAGGCGCGAGAAACAAAUCAUGAAAACACAUUGUUAACAUUUUUCUUUAAUAAAUUCUAUGCGCAACUA